UGAGUUUGAUCCUGGCUCAGAAUGAACGCUAGUCGUAAGCCUAACACAUGCAAGUUUAACGAAAAUUUAAUUCGUAGCGAACGGGUGAGUAUGCUCAGAAUUUUACCUUUUAGUUCAGAACAAAGAUUUUAUUUAUUAAAAUUAAAUUCUGAAUAAAUUAGAAAGAAAUAUAUUUAUAUUUUGCUAAAAGAUAAAUCUGUUAAAGAUUAGGUUGUUGGUAUAGUUUAACAGUCUACCAAGCCUAUAAUCUUUAGUUGAUCUUAGAGGAUGAUCAACCACAUUGGAACUGAAACAAGGUUCAAGCUGAUUAGUCGGCCAGCAGUGAGGAAUAUUAGACAAUGAACGAAAGUUUGAUCUAGCUAUACGACAUGGAUGAUGACGGCUUUUUUAGGUUGUAAAAUCCUUUAAUUAAAGAAGAUAAUGACAUUAUUUAAUUGAAUUUAGCCCUGACUAAUACUCGUGCCAGCAGUCGCGGUAAUACGUGGAGGGCAAGCGUUAUUCGGCAUGAUUGGGCGUAAAGGGUUCGUAGACUGUAAAGUAAGUUUUUUGUUAAAUUUUAAGACUCAAUCUUAAUACAGCAUUUAAUACUUCUUUACUUUGAGUUUAAUAUAGAAAAGUAGAACUUCAUAUGUAGAGGUGAAAUUCGUAGAUAUGUGAAAGAAUGCCAAUAGCGAAGGCAACUUUUUGAUAUAACACUGACGUUGAGGGACGAAAAUAUGGGUAGCAAAAAGGAUUAGAGACCCUUGUAGUCCAUAUCGUAAAUUCUGAGUGCUGUAAUUUAGGUAAUAUAAACUUUAAUAUUUAUUUAGAUUUUUAAGUUAACACUCUAAGCACUCCGCCUGAAGAGUACGAUCGUAAGAUUGAAACUCAAAGGAAUUGACGGGGAUCUAACACUAGUGAUGGAGCAUGUGGUUUAAUGCGAUAAUCCGCGCAAAACCUUACCAAUUCUUGACAUAAUUAAAUAUUAUAUAAAUAAAUUUAUUGUUUAGAUGUAUAAAAUUUUAUUACAGGUGUUGCACGGCUGUCGUCAGAUCGUGUCGUGAGAUGUUUGGUUCAGUCCUGAAACGAUCGCAACUCUUAUUUUUAAGUUUGUUUUUAACGUAGUAAAAAAUUUUUAAUUAUUAAAAUUUUUUAGAUGCUUUAAAAAUACGGUCAAUGAUAAGUUGAAGGAAGGUAAGAAUUAAGUCAAGUCAAUGUGACCCUAAUGAAUUGGGCUACACAUGUGCUACAAUGGAAAUUACAAAAAGUAAACAAAAAAGAAAUUUUGAGUUAAUCAAUAAAAAUUUUCCCAGUUCGGAUUGUAGAUUGCAACUCGUCUACAUCAAGUUGGAAUCACUAGUAAUCGCAAAUCAGCAUGUUGCGGUGAACAUGUAAAUUGAUCUUGUACACACCGCCCGUCACUUGCGAAGAAUUAGUCUUACUUGAAGGUUUUUAUAAAACCCAUGGAGAGACUAAUAAUUCUGAUGAAGUCGGAACAAGGUAGCUGUACGGGAAC
rnacentral:rRNA from 1 species